rnacentral:rRNA from 1 species
UAGCGUAGGGGGCAAGCGUUGUCCGGAAUUAUUGGGCGUAAAGCGCGCGCAGGCGGUGAUUUAAGUUUGGUGUCUAAUCCCGGGCUCAACCCCGGAUCGCACUGAAAACUGGGUCACUUGAGUGCGGGAGAGGAAAGUGGAAUUCCACGUGUAGCGGUGAAAUGCGUAGAGAUGUGGAGGAACACCAGUGGCGAAGGCGACUUUCUGGCCCGUAACUGACGCUGAGGCGCGAAAGCGUGGGGAGCAACAGG